GUAGUUGGCCGGUGCUUCUUCUCGACCUACCGUCAACCCGUCAAAAAGACGAGCCUUCGUCGAUCGCGAAAGAGGUUUACAACCCGAAGGCCGUCAUCCCUCACGCGGCGUUGCUGCGUCAGGCUUCCGCCCAUUGCGCAAGAUUCCCUACUGCUGCCUCCCGUAGGAGUCUGGACCGUGUCUCAGUUCCAGUGUGGCCGAUCAGCCUCUCAGCUCGGCUACCCAUCGCGGACUUGGUGGGCCGUUACCCCGCCAACUAUCUAAUGGGACGCGAACCCCUCCUUCUGCGGAUUGCUCCUUUGACCUCAUCCCGAUGCCGGGUCGUGGUCUUAUGCGGUAUUAGCACUUGUUUCCAGGUGUUAUCCCCCUCAAAAGGUCAGGUUGUUCACGCGUUACUCACCCGUUCGCCACUAAGCAUCAACCGAAAUCAAUGCUCCGUUCGACUUGCAUGUGUUAGGCACGCCGCCAGCGUUCGUCCUGAGCCAGAAUCGAACCCUGA
rnacentral:rRNA from 1 species